AACGAACGCUGGAGGCAGGCCUAACACAUGCAAGUCGAGCGCACCGCAAGGUGAGUGGCGCACGGGUGAGUAACACGUGGGAAUGUACCCUUUGGUUCGGAGUAACGUUUGGAAACGAACGCUAAUACCGGAUGAGCCCUGUGGGGGAAAGAUUUAUCGCCAAAGGAGCAGCCCGCGUCUGAUUAGCUAGUUGGUGGGGUAAAGGCCUACCAAGGCGACGAUCAGUAGCUGGUCUGAGAGGAUGAUCAGCCACACUGGGACUGAGACACGGCCCAGACUCCUACGGGAGGCAGCAGUGGGGAAUAUUGGACAAUGGGCGGAAGCCUGAUCCAGCCAUGCCGCGUGAGUGAUGAAGGCCUUCGGGUUGUAAAGACUCUUUCGCACGCGACGAUAGAUGACGGUAGCGUGAGAAGAAGCCCGGCUAACUUCGUGUCAGCAGCCGCGGUAAU
rnacentral:rRNA from 1 species